rnacentral:rRNA from 1 species
UGGGGAAUAUUGCACAAUGGGGGCAACCCUGAUGCAGCGACGCCGCGUGGGUGAUGAAGGUUUUCGGAUCGUAAAGCCCUUUCUGCAUGACGAGCACAGGACGGUAGUGCAGGAAUAAGUGUCGGCUAACUACGUGCCAGCAGCCGCGGUAAAACGUAGGACACAAGCGUUAUCCGGAAUUACUGGGCGUAAAGGGCGUGCAGGCGGUUGCGUAAGUUAGGCGUGAAAGACUUCGGCUAAACCGGGGAGGUCGUCUGAUACUGCGCAACUAGAGUAUGGUAGAGGCGUGUAGAAUUCCGGGUGUAGUGGUGAAAUGCGUAGAGAUCCGGAGGAAUACCAGUGGCGAAGGCGGCACGCUGGGCCAUAACUGACGCUAAGACGCGAAAGCAUGGGUAGCGAACGGGAUUAGAUACCCUAGUAGUCCCUGAGCGGGCUGGCAAGGCGCAU